CGGCGCCUUCGGGCCGCUGCUGGAAGCCGGAACCGAGCCCGGGCCGCUGCCCCUCACCGGACGCCGCGCGCCACCGGCCCUCCGCGGGGCAGGGGCUGCUGCGAGCUCGCCGGGCGCCCUUUAGACGUAAGUCUCACCCUGCGCCCCGAGGCAGGAAGGAGCGCGUGCAGUCCCGGCCAGAAACGGCUAAUAGGAAGGGCUGAGGGGUUCUGUGUUCAAGGCAGAAGGCCGUGCGUCAGGGCGGCCCUCAGCGGAGAUGCGUGCACGGAGCGGGGAGCGCCGCUCGGGGCAGGGAAUGAAAGCGGCGCUUGAGACUGGAAAUUUAGGGAGAUGAGUUCCUUGGGAACAACGCUGAACCAUCUCACUGCCCCACCCUACCCCUUGUUAUUUUUUUUUGAGACAGGUCUCGCGCUGUCGUCCAGUCUGAGUGCAGUGACGCGAUCACGGCUCACUGCAGCCUCGACCUCCGGGGCUUACGGGUCAUCCCACCUCAGCCCUCUAAGUAGCUGGCACCACGGGCAUGCACCACCACACCCGGCUAAUUUUUUAAAAAAAGUUUUUCCGGAGAUAGGGUCUCGCUGUGUUACCCAGGCUGGUCUCGAACCCCUGGCCUGAAGCGAUCCUCCCGCCUCGGCCUCCCAAAGUGCUGGGAUUACAGGCGUGAGCCACUGCGCUCGGCUUUUCACCCCUUUCUAACGUUUUCCAUCCCUUUCUAACGUUUUCCAUACCCAGCGGUGCCCUGCCCACCCUCUCUUUAUCUCUCACUUUUCCCUCCUCUGUUUCUUCCUCGCUGAAGUCCAUUGGUGAAAGAAAAUUCAUGUGAAAGUUCUCAGAGUCGUCCUUGUCUACUCCACUACCAAAUGUUGAAGUUCUUCAAGAAUCAGUCCUUUGGAGGCAUUUAAGGAAAUCUGUUUCUCUUUUGGAUCACUAGCUGCAAAUUAAGCUAACAGAACAGGAGCUCAGCUGGUCACACACAGCAACGAAUACAGACUUUAUAAAGUUCAGAAAAGUUACCAAACAGUGGUAACCAUAACAAGUACCAACAAUGAACUAUGGGGAGGGAGGAGAAUCUGAUUUCCAGAGUUACCACAUUAUAAUACUAUUCAAAAUGUCACAUUUUUAGCAAAGAUUACAUGACAAGGAAAAACCAGAAAAGUAUGGCCCAUACACAGGUAAAAAAAGAAAUUAAUAGAAACUACCCCUGAAGAAGCACAGACUUCGGAUGUACAAAACAAAGACUUUUCAUCAACUCUUUUAGAUAUGCUAGAAGAGCUAAAGGAAACCAUGGACAGAGAACAAAAAAAUUAGGAAAGCAAUGUCUCAUCCAAUACAGAAUAUCAAUAAAGAGAUUGAAAUUGUAGAAAAGAACCAAAUAGAAAUUCUGGAGUUGAAAAGUAUUAUAACUAAAACUGAAAAUUCACUAGAGGUAUUCAGCAGCAGACUGGAGAAGUCAGAAGAAAGAAUCAACAGGCUUCAAGAUAGGUCAAUUAAGAUUAUACAGUCUGAGGAGCAGAAAGGAAAAAGAAUGAAGAAAAAUGAACAGAGCAUAAAAGACCUCUGGGACUCUAUCAAGCAUACCAGUAUAUGCAUGAGGGGAGUCCCAGAAGGAGAAGAAAGAGAGAAAGGGACAUAAUAUUUGAAGAAAUAAUGGUAGAAAAUGUCCCAGCUUUGAUGAAAUACAUGAAUCUAGAUAUUCAAGAGGCUCAAAGAACCCUAAAUAGGGUAAACUCAAAAAGACCCACACCGGAAUGCAAAAGUGAGCUGGGUGUGGUGGCACGUGCCUGUGGUCCCAGCUACUCGAGAGGCUAAGGCAGGAAAAUCGCUUGAACCCAGGAGGCAGAGAUUGCGGUGAGCCGGGAUUGCGCCAGUGCACUCCAGCUGGGCGACAGAGCGAGAUUCCAUCUCGAAAAAAAAAAAAAAAAAAAAAAAAAACUAUUGCUGCAGUCAUUCAGAUGGAAAUGGGGAAAGAAUAAUAUUAACUGAUUUCAAAAAGGACUUGAAGAUGUGAAUCAUCUAUUUUGCUGAAGAAAUCUUAACUCUUUGAAAUUACUUUUUGUUGCUGUUGUCAUACUCUUAGGUGCCAAACUGCGGUAAAUUUUUUAUCAGUGAAGUGGAAGCAUGUGUUUUGUUGUUUUGGGAAUUUUUAUCAAGUAUCUUCAGAGAAGAUUAUUUCCUGCUUUAUCUUCAAAAACUGGAAAGGAAGGGUCAAAGAAAAGACAGUAGCUGGCCGGUCAUGGUGGCUCAUGCCUGUAAUCCCAACACUUUGGGAGGCUGAGGUGGGCAGAUCACCUGAGGUUGGGAGUUCGAGGCCAGCCUGACCAACGUGGAGAAAUGCCAUCUCUACUAAAGAUGCAAGGAUUGGCCGGGCGUGGUGGUGCGUGCCUGUGAUCCCAGCUGCUCAGGAGGCUGAGGCAGGAGAAUCGCUUGGACCUGGGAGGUGGAGGUUGCGGUGAGCUGAGAUCACGCCAUUGCACUCCAGCCUGGGCAACAAGCGAAACUCUGUCUCAAAAAAAAAGAAAAGACAGUAGCUUAUGUUCAUGUCAAGCACCUCUCAUCACAGUCUAGUUCCAAGGAAAAAAUUCCCAGCGUUUUCUACAUUCGGUGCUGCGUCAUCUGAAAUCGGCACAUUCCAUGGAGGAAGGAGUCCUGCUUUGUUGCAUGUAUCCUAGGGUUUAAUGUUGGUAAAUGAGUCACUCUAGCAUUUGUAGAAGGCUCCCUGAGACUCCUGCAGCAGUCGACCAAGCCCAAGGACAUAAUUGAAUCUGGAGAGUCCUGGGGCCUUGUUUUGAAAAAGACUUGAAAUACACAUAGGAAGAAAGGCAUAAAAAUAAAUGUUCACUUGUCUCUGCUGUGAGUAUGUGUUCCAACUUUUCAGUGAUGGAUUUGAGAAUGAGGACCCCUUCGCCAGGAAAACAUGUAUACACUCAA
rnacentral:lncRNA from 1 species